GAAAACAGAGAGAAAGAGUGAUGGUUAAUAAGCAGAGAAAAGAGUGAAAAAGUUGGUUUUGCAGUUGAAAAACAUAACUUACCUGGCCGGGAACUGACGGGGAUUUUAUGAGAACUAAGCCACACCGGUUUUGAAUGAGCUGUUUUCAUCAACAGAGGGAGCGGGUCCUCUUCUGGUGGUGUCUGCCAUGUUGAACCGCCACAGACUUGAAAACCUCCUCCUCUCAGCAGUCCAAAGCGCCUGCAAGAACAGCUGCUGGAUGGCACCACCAAUCAUCUCAGAGUGAUGCCAGUCCAUUCCAGGUUUUAACCAAAAUCCCCCCACCUUAGAGAACUUUCAUUAGAUGCCAUGGGAAAUCAGUGAA